AUGUUUCCAGUCAUCAUCUCAUUCCUGGGGAUACAGUUUUUCAUGGAUGUCCAAGCACAGUCAGUUACACAGCUGGAUACCCAUGUCACUGUCUUUGAAGGAAACUUGGUGGAGCUCAGAUGCAGCUAUUCCUACAGUGGAGCUCCUUACCUCUUCUGGUACAUGCAGCGCCCUGGCCAUGGCCUCCGGCUUCUCCUCAGCUACCGUUCAGGAAGCUCUGCGGUUCGUGGAAUAAAUGGCUUUGAGGCUAACUUUCAGAAGAGUAACUCUUCCUUCCACCUGAAGAAAACCUCUGUGCACUGGAGUGACUCGGCUGUGUACUUCUGUGCUCUGAGUGCACAAUGUCUGAGGCUGCAGGGGGAGCUGAACACAAACCUGUAA